rnacentral:rRNA from 1 species
AUGCUGUAGACCCGAAACCGGGUGACCUAUCCAUGUGCAGGUUGAAGCGAGAGUAAAAUCUCGUGGAGGACCGAACCCAUAUACGUUGAAAAGUGUUGGGAUGACGUGUGGAUAGCGGUGAAAUUCCAAUCGAACUCGGAUAUAGCUGGUUCUCCUCGAAAUAGCUUUAGGGCUAGCCUCAUAGUAAGAUACGCAGGGGUAGAGCACUGAAUGUUCUAGGGGCCUUCACCGGUUACCGAAAACUAUCAAACUCCGAAUACUGCGCAAUCAUCUAUGGGAGUCAGACUAUGAGAGAUAAGUUCCAUGGUCGAAAGGGAAACAGCCCAGACCUACAGCUAAGGUCCCAAAAUGUAAGUUAAGUGGAAAAGGAUGUGGAGCUGCAUAAACAGCUAGGAUGUUGGCUUAGAAGCAGCCAUUCAUUUAAAGAGUGCGUAACAGCUCACUAGUCGAGUGGCUCUGCGCCGAAGAUAAACGGGGCUAAAACUUACUACCGAAGCUUAGGAUACCUUUUGGUAUGGUAGAGGAGCAUCGUAUAAGAGUCGAAGGUGAACUGUAAGGUAAGCUGGAUUUUAUACGAGAGAGAAUGUUGGCAUGAGUAGCGAGAGGCAGGUGAGAAUCCUGCCCACCGAAAAUCUAAGGUUUCCUGAGGAAGGUUCGUCCACUCAGGGUUAGUCGGGACCUAAGCCGAGGACGAGAGUCGUAGGCGAUGGACAACUGGUUGAGAUUCCAGUACCACCGAAAGUCGUUUGAGUGAAGUGGGGACACAGAAGGAUAGACAGAGCACGCCGUUGGUAGAGCGUGUCCAAGCAGUGAGGCUUGUGCGUAGGCAAAUCCGCGCAUUUUAAGGCUAGGCUGUGAUGGGGAGGGAAAAAAGUACCGGAAGCUGUUGAUUUCACACUGUCAAGAAAAGCCGCUAGCGAGACCGUAGGUGCCCGUACCGCAAACCGACACAGGUAGAUGAGGAGAGAAUCCUAAGGUGAGCGAGAGAACUAUUGUUAAGGAACUCGGCAAAAUUACCCCGUAACUUCGGGAGAAGGGGUGCCAUCGAAAGAUGGCCGCAGUGAAAAGGCCCAGGCGACUGUUUAGCAAAAACACAGGUCUCUGCGAAAGCGAAAGCUGAAGUAUAGGGGCUGACGCCUGCCCGGUGCUGGAAGGUUAAGGGGACUGGUUAGAGCAAUCGAAGGCAUGAACUUAAGCCCCAGUAAACGGCGGCCGUAACUAUAACGGUCCUAAGGUAGCGAAAUUCCUUGUCAGGUAAGUUCUGACCCGCACGAAAGGCGUAACGAUCUGGGC